rnacentral:rRNA from 1 species
UGGUGGAGCGAUUUGUCUGGUUAAUUCCGUUAACGAACGAGACCUCGACCUGCUAAAUAGUACGGCUCGCUCUUCGGGGCGGGACCGCGACUUCUUAGAGGGACUAUCGGUGCGUAGCCGAUGGAAGUUCGAGGCAAUAACA